ensembl:lncRNA
GGAGCUAACUGGCUUAUCCUAAACAGGACAGUAGAAGCCAGCUACCACGGAUGAGGAGCAGGAGCCUGGAACAAAAUAAGGAAUAAGCCAAACUGACAGCCAAAUGGUUGAAUACUCGUUCACGCAAGGCAGCUGCACUGGUUUCCACCCUACAUAUACCAGGCCUUUUAUUGACUUGACUUCAGUGAUAAAGCAGAUGGCCUCAGGUCUACAGUGGCUCCAAUGCAGAACAGACAGCAUAUUUAUCAGCUACAGUUAAUGCAGCAGGUGUACCUGUCUUUUCUGUACUUCUUCUCAGUGUUUAUGUAGCUGAGCAGAAGUUCAAAAUUUUUAUAUGCAAGCUCCAACUCUCCCUGGCUAAACAGUGACCCAACUUUUCUUAUUGUUCUCCCUCUUAAUUUUACAUGCACUUUGUGCAGACCCUGCUAUGGAGAACAGUUUUACUUUCCACAUGUUAGUUCUCCUAGAAUGCAUUCAAAGAAUCAAUUCUCAUUUGUUAAAUUGUUAUUUAGCUUGUAUCUGGUAACAACAUUUGGUAUUGUUACUGUAACAAUUCAUUGUAUUGUUAUCUGGCUCUGCUGAAUUUUGUGCUCAUUUAGGUUUGAUUUUAAUUCAUAAAAUUGCUAUUAUAGGUGACUUUCAUACAUUUCAACAGCUGGAAAGGCAAGAAGCCAAGACAGGAGGCUUGGCUGAUAGUCAUGUGCCACUAGGAAGGUUAUGCCCUGUCCUCCCAGCUGCCAGCACAAUCCCAUCUCCACAUUCGUCUUCCUCCAUUUUCACUGUCCACAGCAAGGAAACAAGUUGUCAGCAUUACAAUCAAAACAGCAUUUUUGCUUUUUCUUGCUAAAAAAAGGACUCUAAAAAAGGCAGUGGACAGUUCUGCCCUAUCUACAGCAACGCUUGAAAUUCUACAGCCCUUCUGAGAUACCCAGGACUGUGCCUUCCUACCACCCAGCAACCCUUAAGCUAAACUUGCCCUCUCCACUCUCUUCUAACAUAGAGAACCACUGUUGCUCUUCCUAUACAAACAUACCAGAGGCACAUCUACGCCAGGACAUGCUGUACACUGAGCCCAUGUGCUGCAGCAGUCCAGCCCGCCACAGCACGCAGCUCAGCGUUGGGUAAGCUGCUGUUCGAAGCCUGGCGGUCUGCAGCAUAGAUGUCCCUGAAGUUUCCAGGGUCACAGAGGAAGUUUCUUCUAAGUUCAUUUCCCAUUUUCUUGCCAAUGACAAAAUCCCCCCUCUCUUAAAUCUUUGGCUAAAUCCUAAAACAGGAACCUCUGGACUGAGAGGACAGCCUGGCCAGCAAAAUGGGAGAGGCAAGUUGCUCCUCUCUCAGCAACAAAAACAAUUCAAGAGAAAACCCGCAUGAAAAACCUUUCAGCGAUUUAUUACAUCUUUUCCCAAGGGAUAGACUUGACUGAGUCCUUAUUUAUUAGGCAGCUUUGAGAAAUAUUCUAAUGCUGUUUUCAAAACAAGUCAAGAUCUAAUAGUUUCAAGAACCCUUACUGUAUUUAAUGUAUAGUUUGUAGUUUAUAUUGAAAUCUCUGAUUAUGCAUAUGCUUUCUAUUAUGCUAGCUGAUGGUAUUGCAUUGAGUAGUGCUGAAUAACUCAGCAGAUUUAGCAAGAGUCAAGUGUAAAUCAGUCAGAUACAGUAACACGAUACCCAUGCUGCCUUUAAACUAUUAAAAAUAUGUGGAAACUUUAUUUUGAAAAGGAAUACAUUCCGUUUUCCACAGGUCCUCCUCAACUGUGAGACGUUGCAUUUUGUUUUCUUGACUGUACAAAGAGAUUUAAUUAAACAAUAAGCUAGUUACAGUGGCAGAAGUAAAAAAGCCUUUGGAGUGUUAUGUUUCCUUUAUUAGCAUAGUGAUGUGAAGCUAAACAGAAAAAGCAAUCUAAUAACAAACAUUCCUUUGAGAACGGCUCAGGGAGCAAAAGGACAUCCACUUAUUGUUCAGCCCAUCCCAUUGGUCCAUAUAUGGCAAUAAAGGUACAAUAGAAGGAAACA